UAGCCAGGAUGGUCUUGUGAGCCACCGCGCCCGGCCCAGCAGAAGUACUUUUAAAAAGGAAAGCCUGAACCCAAUGUUCAAAUACAGGAGGAAGAACCGUCACUCCAUUGGCAGUUGGGGAACGAGUAAAGGGGCGGAGAAGCAGCCUGAUAAUCAAAUUCUGCAAACAUUAGCAACUUAUAAAACACCCACAGCAUUCUCAGGUAUGUCUUUAUCAGCAGUGUGAAAACAUACUAAUAUAGCAGGAAAGCCAGCCCAGGUGGAGAUCCAGCCCAAACCUGAAGGCCAGAGACCCAGGGGAGCCAAUGGCGACAAUCUCCAUCUGAGCCAGAAGGCCUAACAAUAGGGAGUACCAGUGUCUGAGGACAGGAGGAGAUGGAUGUCCUGGCUCCAGCGGAGAGGAUCUUGACACACAGGAUUAUGAGUAGACAUGAAAAUAUUGACCCAGCUGUAGACAGCAACUGUCAGCAGCUGAGAAAUAACCUGGCAGAAGAAGUUUCAUCAGAGAUGCCAUUCCAAGAAAACCAUGGAAGCAGAAAAGAGGAAAGCAGAAACACAGAUGAAGCAAGAGGCUAUGUCCUCUGUGCAUGGAGACAGCAGAUCUAUUAGUAGACAGGAUGAAGAGAAAAGGUGUGAAGAAAAGCCACAUGGCUGAUGUGACAAGGAAGAAAGUGGGUCUCUCAGCUCUUCCCUUCUUGUUUUUGCCCUUUUCCCAGUACCAAGAAAUGUAUUUUUGGGGGCCACAUUCUUCCCACCAUAAUUUAGAAGGAUGCUGUUGCCAGGUUUGAAGACCACUUGAAACAAUAAUUGUUGUUAUUCUGCUAUACUCACCAAGAAUGACAAAACUAUUUACAUACUGGGGAUAGCGUGCUAGAAAAAUUGCUAAACAAAUAGUAUUUUUUCCUUCCAUAAAAUCAGAGUUGUAAAGAGCAAUAUAUUAGGCAUUUUCUUUGCCAGAGAACUUUAGCUAUGAUUUUCUGCUUCUUUAAAAUUCAUAUUAAUGAUCGUAGAUACCAGGUAUCUAAGGGAAAGACUCUUUGCAACAUCUUCUAUAUAUACCCUGGGUGUUUCUGUAUUGAAUUUACUUAAGAUUUAGGCUCUACAGUUUGAUCUCAAUCAUGUAAAAAUAUAUAGCAAGAAGGCUCCUGGGACAAAAACUGAAAUGUUUAUUAUUAAUUUUCUCUGGGCAUUGAA
rnacentral:lncRNA from 1 species